GUCUAAGUAUAAGCAACUAUACGGUGAAACUGCGAAUGGCUCAUUAAAUCAGUUAUCGUUUAUUUGAUAGUACCUUACUACAUGGAUAACCGUGGUAAUUCUAGAGCUAAUACAUGCUAAAAACCCCGACUUCGGAAGGGGUGUAUUUAUUAGAUAAAAAACCAAUGCCCUUCGGGGCUCCUUGGUGAAUCAUAAUAACUUAACGAAUCGCAUGGCCUUGCGCCGGCGAUGGUUCAUUCAAAUUUCUGCCCUAUCAACUUUCGAUGGUAGGAUAGUGGCCUACCAUGGUAUCAACGGGUAACGGGGAAUUAGGGUUCGACUCCGGAGAGGGAGCCUGAGAAACGGCUACCACAUCCAAGGAAGGCAGCAGGCGCGCAAAUUACCCAAUCCCGACACGGGGAGGUAGUGACAAUAAAUACUGAUACAGGGCUCUUUUGGGUCUUGUAAUUGGAAUGAGUACAAUUUAAAUCCCUUAACGAGGAACAAUUGGAGGGCAAGUCUGGUGCCAGCAGCCGCGGUAAUUCCAGCUCCAAUAGCGUAUAUUAAAGUUGUUGCAGUUAAAAAGCUCGUAGUUGAACCUUGGGCCUGGCUGGCCGGUCCGCCUCACCGCGUGUACUGGUCCGGCCGGGCCUUUCCUUCUGGGGAACCUCAUGCCCUUCACUGGGCGUGCUGGGGAACCAGGACUUUUACUUUGAAAAAAUUAGAGUGUUCAAAGCAGGCCUUUGCUCGAAUACAUUAGCAUGGAAUAAUAGAAUAGGACGUGUGGUUCUAUUUUGUUGGUUUCUAGGACCGCCGUAAUGAUUAAUAGGGAUAGUCGGGGGCAUCAGUAUUCAAGCGUCAGAGGUGAAAUUCUUGGAUUGCUUGAAGACUAACUACUGCGAAAGCAUUUGCCAAGGAUGUUUUCAUUAAUCAGUGAACGAAAGUUAGGGGAUCGAAGACGAUCAGAUACCGUCGUAGUCUUAACCAUAAACUAUGCCGACUAGGGAUCGGGCGGUGUUAGUAUUUUGACCCGCUCGGCACCUUACGAGAAAUCAAAGUUUUUGGGUUCUGGGGGGAGUAUGGUCGCAAG
rnacentral:rRNA from 2 species